rnacentral:lncRNA from 1 species
UACAGGUUUUAAAAAUCUACUUCUUAUUCAAAUUUGAGAUUUUUCUUACAAAUUUAUAUUAUUUUUAAAUUAAGGUUUAAUUUGUAUUAUUUUCAGUCAAUAAUAUCUAUUAUAUAUAGAGAGAUUUUUAAAGUAUUCCUUAUGUAUAAUGCAAAACAAAUUUCAAAAAAUUAAGAUGAGAAAUGUUUGUGAGUGUUCAGUUAUAAUUUUUAAAUUUUUUUAUUAUAUUGUGGGUAGGGGAAGGGGAAAUAGGGAGGAAACUACAAGGCGAGAAAUCAAACCCUCACGCCUCACCAAUAAGAUAAAAAUUCAGGUAACCAACCAACUGUUACUAAGAUUUCUCAUUUAUAUGGAAUCAAUUAAUAGCGAAAUAAUCGAUAACUAAAGAACUAUUAUAUCCCUUUUAUAUAUAUGUAUUUUCUAGUUGCAAUUAAGAAAUGGCCAUAAAAAUAGGGGUGGGGGUGGGGGGAGGGGAAGAGGAGAAAUUGACAAAGGGAAUAAAAGAUCGAAGUGAAAGAGUUUAAUUCUAUCAUAGACAUAAUUCAGGAAGAAUUGACCAAAGGCUUCAAAGCUGUCGUUGUGAGUAAUACAUGUCGUUGGAGGAGGAGGAAUUUGAUCAUACUGCUCGUCCGCUGGUGGUAUAACGCAAGUCCUUGCGUUUUCUGUAGCCAUGUCCCGAACGAGCUUAUGGAGGACGCCGGUUAGCGUGUCAGUUAGCCGAGCCUCAUGGAGCUUUUUUUACUGCUGGUGGCGUCUCCUCCGCCAUGGAUGUGGAGGCUCCCUUACCAAAAGAUUUUGUGAUGCUACAGUGAGGAGGGGGUGACCCACAUCACCUGGGGGAGGCAUUGGGCGUUGCAUCCUCGUCUACUGCUUCAGAGCUCUCAUUGAUGAUAUUUAUGAGGUUGGUUGGAAGAUCACUCAUUAUUCUCGUUCUUUCUUCUCUGUUACCUGCCAUAUUAGAUCUGUGCAUACAAAGAAAGGUCGAACUAUUCUCGGAUUUGAUGAAAAAGUAUGGAAUAAUACCAAUAAGAAUCUUGAUGAAAAUGUAAUGUUUGUAUAUUUGCUAGAGAGAGAAUCUUUUUCCGAAAUAUGUUAUUAUCACAUAAUAUUACAUAUCCCUUUUCCUUAUCUUUUGUCCUCCUUAUAUGGGACAUACACAUAGCAAACCAUAAUAGUACAUGUGCAAAGAAUAUUCUUCGGAAUAUUUCCUCUAUUAUUCAAUUCUAAAAACUAGUCGUUACAACUCUUUCCGCGGAUCGUACUCGACCACUGUAAGCGUCCUGACCCCGAGUUUCGCCAUUUUCUGAUCGACCUCGACUGAUUUUUCCCGCAAUACUUCCUUGACCUAAAUGUUUCGGCGUAGAUUUCGACCUAUACAGUGAUAACUUACUUACUUUCUUUCUUUCUUUCGAGUUGUUUGUAAAGGGACUGCACAUCCUUGUUGUUGGAGAAAAAGAUACAUAUUCAUGGUGAAAUGCCCACGGGAGGUGUACUCGAUGGCAUAUGCAUAAUUUUGUGCAAGUAAUGUCAAUAUAUUACCGCAUUUCAAUCUGUAUGGAAGCUUGAUGUUAGACUAUACAGGUUUUAAAAAUCUACUUCUUAUUCAAAUUUGAUAUUUUUCUUAUAAAUUUAUAUUAUUUUUAAAUUAAGGUUUAAUUUGUAUUAUUUUCAGUCAGUAAUAUCUAUUAUAUAUAGAGAGAAAUUUUUAAAGUAUUUCUUAUGUAUAAUGCAAAAAAAAAAUUCAAAAAAUUAAGAUGAGAAAUGUUUGUGAGUGUUCAGUUAUAGUUUUUUUAAAUUUUUAUUACAUUGGGGGUAGGGGAAGGGGAAAUAGGGAGAAAACUACAAGGCGAUAAAUCAAA